rnacentral:rRNA from 1 species
CCUACGGGUGGCAGCAGUGGGGAAUAUUGGACAAUGGGCGAAAGCCUGAUCCAGCCAUGCCGCGUGUGUGAAGAAGGCCUUCGGGUUGUAAAGCACUUUCAGUGGGGAAGAAAGCCUUGGGGCUAAUACCCUCGAGGAAGGACAUCACCCACAGAAGAAGCACCGGCUAACUCCGUGCCAGCAGCCGCGGCAAUACGGAGGGUGCGAGCGUUAAUCGGAAUUACUGGGCGUAAAGCGCGCGUAGGCGGUCUGAUAAGCCGGUUGUGAAAGCCCCGGGCUCAACCUGGGAACGGCAUCCGGAACUGUCAGGCUAGAGUGCAGGAGGGGAAGGUAGAAUUCCCGGUGUAGCGGUGAAAUGCGUAGAGAUCGGGAGGAAUACCAGUGGCGAAGGCGGCCUUCUGGACUGACACUGACGCUGAGGUGCGAAAGCGUGGGUAGCAAACAGGAUUAGAUACCCGUGUAGUC